GAGGCCCCGUGGUAGAGCAUUUGCUUGGCAUGCUAAAGGUCCCAGGUUCAAAUCCCAGAUCA
rnacentral:tRNA from 1 species